CUAGACUCCCAAGGCCAUUUUAACAAACUAAUCAAAUAUGAGAGAAAUGUUUUUUUUUUUGUUUUUUUUUAAAUUAAAUCAAAAAUAUAUUGCUAAGUGCAUUUAUUAUUAUUUUCAUUUCAAUUUUGGUGUCAAUUUUGCCUUGUGAGUUUCGUCCCUUUAACGCUUUUUCUAAAAAAUAGUAACAUUGGUAAGCUGGUUUCAUUUCAAGUUUAAUAUCAAAUAAGUUUUUAUAGAAUUUAUGGAAAAUGUUGAAAUUCAGAAAGGGAAUUGAUGUAAUUAUCUGAAAAAUGAUUCAUAUUUAUUUUCUUAAUAGUUAAUUUGAAAGUUUAUUUAAAAACUGUGAUAGUUUUAUUAUUUCAAAAAAAGUUUAA
rnacentral:lncRNA from 1 species